GAGGGUGUAGCUCCGUGGCAGAGCACCUGCUUAGUAUGCACGAGGUCCUGGGUUCAAUCCCAGUACCUCCA
rnacentral:tRNA from 1 species